GAUGAACGCUGGCGGCGUGCCUAACACAUGCAAGUCGAGCGAACAGACGAGGAGCUUGCUCCUUUGACGUUAGCGGCGGACGGGUGAGUAACACGUGGAUAACCUACCUAUAUUACUGGGAUAACUACGGAAAACCGGAGCUAAUACCGGAUAAUAUAUUGUACCGCAUGGAUCAGUAGUGAAUGACGGUUUUGCUGUCUCUUAUAGAUGGAUCCGCGCUGCAUUAGCUAGUUGGUAAGGUAACGGCUUACCAAGGCUACGAUGCGUAGCCGACCUGAGAGGGUGAUCGGCCACACUGGAACUGAGACACGGUCCAGACUCCUACGGGAGGCAGCAGUAGGGAAUCUUCGGCAAUGGGCGAAAGCUUGACGCAGCAACGCCGCGUGAGUGAUGAAGGUCUUCGGAUCGUAAAACUCUGUUAUUGGGGAAGAACAACUGUGUAAGUAACUAUGCACGUCUUGACGGUACCUAAUCAGAAAGCCACGGCUAACUACGUG
rnacentral:rRNA from 1 species